GGUUAAGCGACUAAGCGUACACGGUGGAUGCCCUGGCAGUCAGAGGCGAUGAAGGACGUGCUAAUCUGCGAAAAGCGCCGGCGAGGUGAUAUGAACCUUUGACCCGGCGAUGUCCGAAUGGGGAAACCCAGUGCAAUUCGUUGCACUAUCGUUAACUGAAUACAUAGGUUAACGAGGCGAACCGGGGGAACUGAAACAUCUAAGUACCCCGAGGAAAAGAAAUCAACCGAGAUUCCCCCAGUAGCGGCGAGCGAACGGGGAGCAGCCCAGAGUCUGAAUCAGCUUGUGUGUUAGUGGAACGGUCUGGAAAGUCCGGCGAUACAGGGUGACAGCCCCGUACACGAAAGCACACAGGCUGUGAACUCGAAGAGUAGGGCGGGACACGUGGUAUCCUGUCUGAAUAUGGGGGGACCAUCCUCCAAGGCUAAAUACUCCUGACUGACCGAUAGUGAACCAGUACCGUGAGGGAAAGGCGAAAAGAACCCCGGCGAGGGGAGUGAAAAAGAACCUGAAACCGUGUACGUACAAGCAGUGGGAGCACCUUCGUGGUGUGACUGCGUACCUUUUGUAUAAUGGGUCAGCGACUUAUAUUCUGUAGCAAGGUUAACCGUAUAGGGGAGCCGAAGGGAAACCGAGUCUUAACUGGGCGUUAAGUUGCAGGGUAUAGACCCGAAACCCGGUGAUCUAGCCAUGGGCAGGUUGAAGGUUGGGUAACACUAACUGGAGGACCGAACCGACUAAUGUUGAAAAAUUAGCGGAUGACUUGUGGCUGGGGGUGAAAGGCCAAUCAAACCGGGAGAUAGCUGGUUCUCCCCGAAAGCUAUUUAGGUAGCGCCUCGUGAACUCAUCUUCGGGGGUAGAGCACUGUUUCGGCUAGGGGGCCAUCCCGGCUUACCAACCCGAUGCAAACUACGAAUACCGAAGAAUGUUAUCACGGGAGACACACGGCGGGUGCUAACGUCCGUCGUGAAGAGGGAAACAACCCAGACCGCCAGCUAAGGUCCCAAAGUCAUGGUUAAGUGGGAAACGAUGUGGGAAGGCACAGACAGCCAGGAUGUUGGCUUAGAAGCAGCCAUCAUUUAAAGAAAGCGUAAUAGCUCACUGGUCGAGUCGGCCUGCGCGGAAGAUGUAACGGGGCUAAACCAUGCACCGAAGCUGCGGCAGCGACGCUUAUGCGUUGUUGGGUAGGGGAGCGUUCUGUAAGCCGUUGAAGGUGUGCUGUGAGGCAUGCUGGAGGUAUCAGAAGUGCGAAUGCUGACAUAAGUAACGAUAAAGCGGGUGAAAAGCCCGCUCGCCGGAAGACCAAGGGUUCCUGUCCAACGUUAAUCGGGGCAGGGUGAGUCGACCCCUAAGGCGAGGCCGAAAGGCGUAGUCGAUGGGAAACAGGUUAAUAUUCCUGUACUUGGUGUUACUGCGAAGGGGGGACGGAGAAGGCUAUGUUAGCCGGGCGACGGUUGUCCCGGUUUAAGCAUGUAGGCGGAGGUUCCAGGUAAAUCCGGUACCUUAUUAACGCUGAGGUGUGAUGACGAGGCACUACGGUGCUGAAGUAACAAAUGCCCUGCUUCCAGGAAAAGCCUCUAAGCAUCAGGUAACACGAAAUCGUACCCCAAACCGACACAGGUGGUCAGGUAGAGAAUACCAAGGCGCUUGAGAGAACUCGGGUGAAGGAACUAGGCAAAAUGGUGCCGUAACUUCGGGAGAAGGCACGCUGAUAUGUAGGUGAAGCCCCUGCGGGUGGAGCUGAAAUCAGUCGAAGAUACCAGCUGGCUGCAACUGUUUAUUAAAAACACAGCACUGUGCAAACACGAAAGUGGACGUAUACGGUGUGACGCCUGCCCGGUGCCGGAAGGUUAAUUGAUGGGGUUAGCGGCAACGCGAAGCUCUUGAUCGAAGCCCCGGUAAACGGCGGCCGUAACUAUAACGGUCCUAAGGUAGCGAAAUUCCUUGUCGGGUAAGUUCCGACCUGCACGAAUGGCGUAAUGAUGGCCAGGCUGUCUCCACCCGAGACUCAGUGAAAUUGAACUCGCUGUGAAGAUGCAGUGUACCCGCGGCAAGACGGAAAGACCCCGUGAACCUUUACUAUAGCUUGACACUGAACACUGGUCCUUGAUGUGUAGGAUAGGUGGGAGGCUUUGAAGCGUGGACGCCAGUCUGCGUGGAGCCGACCUUGAAAUACCACCCUUUAAUGGCUGGUGUUCUAACGUAGACCCGUAAUCCGGGUUGCGGACAGUGUCUGGUGGGUAGUUUGACUGGGGCGGUCUCCUCCCAAAGAGUAACGGAGGAGCACGAAGGUUAGCUAAUCCUGGUCGGACAUCAGGAGGUUAGUGCAAUGGCAUAAGCUAGCUUGACUGCGAGAGUGACGGCUCGAGCAGGUGCGAAAGCAGGUCAUAGUGAUCCGGUGGUUCUGAAUGGAAGGGCCAUCGCUCAACGGAUAAAAGGUACUCCGGGGAUAACAGGCUGAUACCGCCCAAGAGUUCAUAUCGACGGCGGUGUUUGGCACCUCGAUGUCGGCUCAUCACAUCCUGGGGCUGAAGUAGGUCCCAAGGGUAUGGCUGUUCGCCAUUUAAAGUGGUACGCGAGCUGGGUUUAGAACGUCGUGAGACAGUUCGGUCCCUAUCUGCCGUGGGCGCUGGAGAAUUGAGGGGGGCUGCUCCUAGUACGAGAGGACCGGAGUGGACGCAUCACUGGUGUUCGGGUUGUCAUGCCAAUGGCACUGCCCGGUAGCUAAAUGCGGAAAAGAUAAGUGCUGAAAGCAUCUAAGCACGAAACUUGCCCCGAGAUGAGUUCUCCCUGACCCUUUAAGGGUCCUGAAGGAACGUUGAAGACUACGACGUUGAUAGGUCGGGUGUGUAAGCGCAGCGAUGCGUUGAGCUAACCGAUACUAAUGAACCGUGAGGCUUAACCUU
rnacentral:rRNA from 1 species